UAAAAGAUAAGCUAAUAAAGCUUGCGGGUUCAUACCCCGCCUAUAGAGUUUCCAUCAUCUCUUCUUUUAA
rnacentral:tRNA from 1 species